AUGAUUACGCAAAGCACUGAUAGACGUUCGCUACUGAACAGGCAAUUGAGUGGACAUCUAGUGGCUCUCCGGACAACUGGUCAUCCAAGAGCAAUGGCAUUACUUGUGAGAAUAAUCCUGCUGGUUUGCUCUAUUACCUUGAAAGCCCUGACGAGGUAGGAAAUCUUUGAGAAUUUUUUGCGAGGGCCAUUAUUUACAUAAACCCAUUGCAGUGGUUCUGACUAACCAAACAUGAUAGUGACUAAGUGGUAUCAACUGCUUUGGUAAACUAAACUCCAUCAUUCAUCCUUAUA